rnacentral:lncRNA from 1 species
ACCACCCACCCCCGUCACUCUACGAGAAGAAAGAGAGGGAGACGUAGGCAAGGCAAAUUUCCCGUCCAAUUUCGCAUCCACACAGCUGCCGGUGAAGUCUUAAAUCAAUUGCUGUCGGGGUACUAGAAGGUGGGGAGUAAGGGGGUACGAGGUGAGUAAUAUCUUUGGACAUAUUCAAAAACCGGGUGGAAGGUCUUUAAGCGGUCUAAAGCAUGGAAGAAAGAAAGAAAGAAAGAAA